rnacentral:rRNA from 1 species
CAGCAGCCGCGGUAAAACAGAGGGUGCGAGCGUUAAUCGGAUUUACUGGGCGUAAAGCGUGCGUAGGCGGCUUCUUAAGUCGGAUGUGAAAUCCCUGAGCUUAACUUAGGAAUUGCAUUCGAUACUGGGAAGCUAGAGUAUGGGAGAGGAUGGUAGAAUUCCAGGUGUAGCGGUGAAAUGCGUAGAGAUCUGGAGGAAUACCGAUGGCGAAGGCAGCCAUCUGGCCUAAUACUGACGCUGAGGUACGAAAGCAUGGGGAGCAAACAGGAUUAGAUACCCCUGUAGUCCCUGUCUCUUAUAC